rnacentral:rRNA from 1 species
UACGGAGGGUGCAAGCGUUGUCCGGAAUCACUGGGCGUAAAGGGCGCGUAGGCGGUCUUGUAAGUCUCGUGUGAAAUCCCUCGGCUUAACUGAGGAACUGCACGGGAUACUGCAUGACUUGAGGUCGGGAGAGGGAAGCGGAAUUCCGGGUGUAGCGGUGAAAUGCGUAGAUAUCCGGAGGAACACCGGUGGCGAAGGCGGCUUCCUGGACCGACUCUGACGCUGAGGCGCGAAAGCUAGGGGAGCAAACGGG